CGCUGGCCAGCGGCUUUUCAAGUGGGGGCGCGUUUCCCAUGUCGGCGCGGGGAUCCUGGGCGCGUCGGAGCUCGAGCGUUCGGCCUCUCGCAAAGCACCCUUUCUGGACAGUUGCAGGUCACCCCUUUCCAGAUGAGAGCGAACCGAUUGCUAAAGUGAAGAGGCAAGCCCCUCGCUGCUGGUUGGAACACAGACAAGUCAUUGUGGGCCGUGUGGACAAGGUUAACUCCGAAGAAUGCCAAAGUAGAAGGAACUGAGCCCAACAACUUGGUGGAAUAGAUCUUCAGCUUUAAGGAUGAAGAUGUGGCGCCAGCCGAAAAGUUAUGUGCUUGUGGAAAAACACUGUUAUCUGCUUGUGGAAAAAUACUGUCUCUUUGAAAAUGCUAUAUAAACCCCUGGCUUUGAGUGCUCGGGGUCCUUGUUGAAACCCGCUGCGUCGGGCUGACACUUGGACCCCAGCUAGCUGGUUCCUGAAUAAAGUCCUCUUGCUUGUUGCAUAAAGAGACGCCUUCCGUGAGUGAAUUGGGGUGGCGUCCUCCUUUGGAGAGAUCCAACAUUUCUUGGGGGCUCGUCCGGGAUCGAACGUUCACCCCGCUUCACUCCGGGAGUCGCUCUUGGAGGAAGAGGUAAGGUUGGUGGCGCCUUGGGUUGUCUGUGUUUCAUUUUCUGUCUUUCAGUGCGACCGGUCGGAAUUCUGAAGGGGGUACCCUCCGUCUGGCAGCUGUCUCGAUCCCGUAAAGGGUUUGAGACCACGGUCAGUAGAUGUACUCGGAGCACCGCAGGCUGCAACCCUGGGGGACGCCUCAGGGAGAUUAGAGGGCCAGGGACGCCUGGUGACCUCUCACCUGUUUUUUCGGCAAGGUGAAUCUGAUGAGAUAGGGUUGAUUUUCGGGCGCCAAGAAUAUCAACCCUCCGAUUCCUUUCGGUUUCUGGUCAAAAAUCUGAAGAAAACAAGGA